AAUGGAAAUAAUCUAACCUGUUUUCUGUGGAAAACAGGCAGUACAAACAGUUGAACGAUAUUUCUUUAGAUUUUCAUGCAGAGCUGCCACAAAUACAAAUAUUUGUGCAUGCAUAAAUUAGGGACGCAUCAAUUAUUUUACUUGCUGUGAUUUCUGGCUCUACUAAUGUUCUUGAAUUUUAAAGUACUCCAUAAAGUAUUAAUAAUAUUUAUGUUAUUUAAAAGAUUAGACCGAGAAAAUAAAGUACUCCGGAGAAAACGGCAGGAUCCCAAAUUUAUGCAUGCACAAAUACCUGUAUUUGAUUAUGGCAGCUGUUUUCAUGGCUGCUUAAUAAUGUUUGUUUACGAAGAAUUUAUUGUUAGAUUGGCUAGAACAAAAGCUAUUGUAACGUGAUACUUCUUGUGAUACUAUUGAUAGCAAAAAAAUGAACAAGUACUUGAGUUAUUGCAAAUCUAUUGUUAAAACCAAGGGACAACCGCGGAUAGUCGUACUGGGGAACGAAAGCUGUGAUUUAGAUUCAGCCGUAUGUAGCCUUACGUUUGCUUUUCACUUGUUCAAAUGCCCCAGUUUGGUACAACCAUUCCCAGGCUGGGAACACGUACUGCCGGUCUUGAAUGUGUUUCGACACGAGCUGCCCAUCAAGACGGAAGUCGUGUACUUUCUGCAGAAGCACCAAAUCGAACUCGAAAAUCUCAUUUGUAAGGAUGAAAUUAGUUUAAACAAGGCUGCCUUAGAAAGGACCAAGUUCGUUCUGGUAGACCAUCAUAUGUCCAUAUACGAAGCGAACGUUGUCGGGGUGAUUGACCAUAGAAUAUUCGAUCCGCGGGCAAAUUUACCCGAUACGAUCUUCAAAUUGAUGAGACCGGUCGGUUCAUGUGCUACACUUAUUACAAAAAUAAUUACAGAUUACGAUAUGUUUGAUAAACACAGGGAUGAUUUCACGUUGGUGCUCAAACUUCUUUACGGUGCCAUAAUCUUAGACACGGUAAACUUCUCUAAGCAAGCUGAUAAGGCCCGGGAAAUGGAUCAUAUGAUGGCCGAAUACAUUGAGCAAAAUCUUGAAAUAAGCGAACUAGAUCGUCGAACAUUAUUCGAGAACCUGGUCCUUAAAAGAAAUGACGUUAGCGGUCUGGAUUCAUUGCAAAUUCUUUCAAAAGAUUCGAAAAUCCUUUAUCGACAAGGACGGACUGUGUCUAUACCCGGUUAUCCCAUAUUGGUGCAAGAUUAUGUAAAGAUGUACGAUGCUGAAACAAACCUGUUGAAGUUUGCGCAGACAACAGGAUCCGACGUGGUUGUUCUCAUGGGAAUGAAAAUAAACGCUGAGAGUAAUCAGGUUAGGAGAGAUUUAGGAAUCGUCAAUAUCUGUGACCGUGAUCUUUUCGAAAAGAUCGUCACAGCUUUAACGACCAGUAAAACGCCGGAUCUCCGUCUCGAAAAACGUUGUGGAAAUGUGUAUGAAUGUGUAUGCGGGAUAUAUUUUACCCAAGGCAAUAUAGCUGCUUCUAGAAAACAGAUUUUACCACUGAUACGCAGCAUCUUGGAUGGGUCGUCGUAGUGUAGUUCAAUUGAUAUAAAAUUAUGUAUUUAUUUAUAAAAUAGUGGAAACAAAUCGAAAAAGUAGUUCGGGUUGUAAAAGGAACGCUCGAGGCAUGGCAAUGACCACCGUAUCAUUCAUUAGUCACUCACAACUGUCGGAAAUAAAAAAAUAUGACCGAGGAAGCUAUUGCCAUGGUAACACUUACACAGGUUCACGGCGAUCAAGCAGCAUAUCGUUAAUAAAUCCAAUCGUGGUAGGCGCAUCAUAAUGGAUAAAUCAAGAAAACACCUCACUGGAAAACACCCACCCACACUGAAACCGCGAUAGCCCUAAAAAUGUGAAAACGCACGCACUAGGGGGGUCUUUUACUAACAGCGCGUCGCAAUGGCUGAGAAUAAUGUACACAAGCGCUGAUUAUACGCCUAUACCCUUCGCCAAGGUAUAAAAAUGAUACAGGAAAGAAAACCGGCGCUGCCUAAAAUCUGCUCCACAAGAAAUCAAGCUAUGCGUUGAAUGAUGCGACGAAACCGACCGGUCGAGAUGAACUGAUGCUGCGAGAGCAUAGUCACGUCCUUUGAAGCGGCCAAAUCAUCGGGAGAGCAUAAACAUGACAUAGAGAAAGAGUACUAGCAAUAAACAGUACGUACGGCAAAGGAUUCUAUACGAAAGGUAUUGCAAUAAGUAUUGGAAAUAAAAUUUAAAUAACUCUUGUUCGAUUUGUUCGGUGGAAAUAUUAUGAUAA